rnacentral:lncRNA from 1 species
AGGAAACACAUUUCUACUGUUUAAGCCACUUGGCUGGGAGUACUUGGUUAUGGCAGCCUGAGCAGACUAAACCAGCACCUCAAAGAGUUGUUAUAGGGUAUGCUUAGUGGUAACUGGUUCCUAAAGGCCUUGCUUUCUAAGGCUGACUCCUCACCCUGCAAGGAUGCAUUCUCCCCACUGGCAGAUAUGCAACCAGGAACAGGCAUUAACACGCUUUAUUCCCAGAGUUUUAAUAUUUUCCAUUGCAUAAAAUAUUUGUUCAUGAAAAUGACAAAAUUGCUAUUAGAUUCUAUCACCACAUCUCUGUUGAUUUUACUUUCUGCAAACACAUACAAGUAAUGUAGGCAUACAGUUAAAAAUGAAACCUUAUCCUGUAGUUCCAGCUACUAGGGAGGCUGAAGCAAGAGAAUGGCAUGAACCUGGGAGGCGGAGCUUGUCGUGAGCCCAGAUCAGGCCACUACACUCCAGCCGGGGCAACAGAGCGCAACUCCGUCUCAAAACAAACAAACAAAACAAAACAAAAAAAACUUAUAGACAAGUACAAAAUGAGAAGAAAAAGUCCCUUUCCCUUCAUGCCUCUACUUCCUGCUGUAUUCUCAAAGAACUAUCAUAGGAACGUACUGGGAAAACCAAAAGAAUUCACGGAUCCUUUGAAAGAAGACGCACACCACUGUAAAUUCUGUGGAACAGGAGAAAAACUGCCAGCCUCCAGCUAGGACACAAUUCUGGUGUUGCAAUGCAGGUCAGUGUCCUGUAUUAGUUUUCUAUGCUGCAUAACACAUUGCCACAUGGAUUCUCUGCUCGGUGUCUCACAAGGUGGGAAUAAAGGUGUCAGCAAAUUGUGUUCCUUUCUGCAAGGCCCUGGGGAAGAAUUCACUUUCGAGCUCAUUCAAAUUGUCAGCAGAACUUUAGUUCCUUGCAGUUCUCUUCAUCCUCGAGGCAACAGCGUCCCAUCCAGGCACGCUGAGUCUUUCAUAAGCUUCAAAUGUCUCCUCUCCCCUGUCUUGCUCUUUAGGGGUUAAGGGUGAUUCCACCAGGCCAACCCAGAUAAAUCCAGGAUAACCUCCCUAUUUUAAAGUCAACUGAUUAGAAACCUGUCCACAAGGCUCUUUUGCCUUGUAAAGUAACAGAUUCAUAGUCCCAGAAAUUAGGGUUUGAAUUCUCUUAGAGGACUAUAAUGCUGCCUGCCAGUCUCCCACCUGGAACUUGCCAGAAAUCAGCACCUAGCACUAAGUCUUUAUUUAAUUUUUUAUGUUUAGAGAGCAGUAUUGCUGUUGCCCAGGCUGGAUUACAGUGGUGCAAUCACCACUCACUGCAGCCUCAACCUCCUAAGCUCAAGCCAUCCUUCAUCUCUGCCUAGACUAGCCCACUAUAGGUUUGCCACCAUGCCCAGCUCUUUUUUUUUUAAAGAGAUCUGGUCUGGAUAUGUUGCCUAGGCAGGUAUCAAACUCUUGGGCUUGAACAAUCCUCUUGUGUCUGGAGUUGGUUCCUUCCGGUGGGUUCCUGGUCUUCGAGAAUGAAGCCAUGGACCUUGCUGGUGAGUGUUACAGCUCUUAAAGAUGGCAGGGACCCUGCAGUAGCAAGGUUUAUUGUGAAAACAGAAAGAAUAAAGCUUCCGCAAAGCUGACCGGGACCCAAGCAGUUGUCGCUGCCGGCUGGGGUGGUGGCCAGCUUUUAUUCCCUUAUUGGCCCCUCCCAUGUUCCGUUUCUGUCCUAUCAGAGUGCCCUUUUUUCAAUCCUCCCCGCAAUUGGCUACUUUUAGAAUACCGCUGAUUGGUGCAUUUUACAGAGCACUGAUUGGUGCGUUUUACAAUUUUCUUGUAAGACAGAAAAGUUCCUGAUUGGUGCAUUUUACAAUCCUCUUGUAAGAAAAGUUCCCCAAGUCCCCACUGCACUCAGGGAGUCCAGCUGGCUUCACUUGUCACUCCCGCCUUGGCCUCCCAGAAUGCUGGGAUUACAGGCAUGAGCCACUGGCUUGGCCUAGCACCAAGUCUUGAUGAACCACCCAGAGGGACAUCACACCUCAUGCCAGGUGACAGGGAUUGUCACAGUCCCUCCAGGCCUCUCCCUCCUCUGGGAGGAGUCAGUGAAGUUGGUUGGUACAGGAGCCCAGGACCACCUGCUUUGCCCGCCAGGGCUUACCUGACAGUUGGCCGGCAAGUACUUACCAUUAUUAUUGUUUUAACUUCAUGAUCAACGUUUUAAAAAAUCAGGAGCGGUCUCAUUAAAACUCAGAUUUCCGCUUUCUCUUGAAAAUUCAGCAGCUCUGGCAACCCUGAGUUCCAGGUCAGGCUGGAACUGGGGGCGCCCCAUGGGAAGAGGGGAG